UGCCAGCCGCCGCGGUAAUACGGAGGGGGUUAGCGUUGUUCGGAAUUACUGGGCGUAAGGCGCACGUAGGCGGAUUAGUAAGUUAGGGGUGAAAUCCCGGGGCUCAACCCCGGAACUGCCUCUAAUACUGCUAGUCUUGAGUUCGAGAGAGGUGAGUGGAAUUCCGAGUGUAGGAGUGAAAUCCGUAGAUAUUCGGAGGAACACCAGUGGCGAAGGCGGCUUUCUGGACCAAUACUGACGCUGAGAUGCGAAAGCGUGGGGAGCGAACAGGAUUAGAUA
rnacentral:rRNA from 1 species